UACGAAGGGGGCUAGCGUUGCUCGGAAUCACUGGGCGUAAAGGGUGCGUAGGCGGGUCUUUAAGUCAGGGGUGAAAUCCUGGAGCUCAACUCCAGAACUGCCUUUGAUACUGAAGAUCUUUGAGUCCGGGAGAGGUGAGUGGAACUGCGAGUGUAGAGGUGAAAUUCGUAGAUAUUCGCAAGAACACCAGUGGCGAAGGCGGCUUACUGGUCCGGAUCUGACGCUGAG
rnacentral:rRNA from 1 species